rnacentral:rRNA from 1 species
UACGUAGGUGGCGAGCGUUGUCCGGAUUUACUGGGCGUAAAGAGCGCGCAGGCGGCUGGUCAAGUCCGAUGUGAAAGCUCCCGGCUUAACUGGGAAAGGUCAACUGAUACUGUGCGACUAGAGUGCGGAAGGGGCAACUGGAAUUCUCGGUGUAGCGGUGAAAUGCGUAGAUAUCGAGAGGAACACCUGCGGCGAAGGCGGGUUGCUGGGCCGACACUGACGCUGAUGCGCGAAAGCCAGGGGAGCGAACGGG